rnacentral:rRNA from 1 species
CUACGGGAGGCAGCAGUGGGGAAUAUUGCACAAUGGGCGCAAGCCUGAUGCAGCAACGCCGCGUGAGGGAUGAAGGCCUUCGGGUUGUAAACCUCUUUUAGCAGGGAAGAAGCGAAAGUGACGGUACCUGCAGAAAAAGCGCCGGCUAACUACGUGCCAGCAGCCGCGGUAAUACGUAGGGCGCAAGCGUUGUCCGGAAUUAUUGGGCGUAAAGAGCUCGUAGGCGGUUUGUCGCGUCUGCUGUGAAAAUCCGAGGCUCAACCUCGGACCUGCAGUGGGUACGGGCAAACUAGAGUGCGGUAGGGGAGAUUGGAAUUCCUGGUGUAGCGGUGGAAUGCGCAGAUAUCAGGAGGAACACCAAUGGCGAAGGCAGAUCUCUGGGCCGUAACUGACGCUGAGGAGCGAAAGCGUGGGGAGCGAACAGGAUUAGAUACCCUGGUAGUCCACGCCGUAAACGGUGGGAACUAGAUGUAGGGACCGUUCCACGGUUUCUGUGUCGCAGCUAACGCAUUAAGUUCCCCGCCUGGGGAGUACGGCCGCAAGGCUAAAACUCAAAGGAAUUGACGG